AGAGAGGCCUCUGCUGACAAUGCACUCAGACUCGCCCUCACUCAGCCUGUCAAUAAUUAACACACCUGGAUUUGAUGGGAGGGAGCAGCAUAAAAGCCAGUAGACCCGAGGAACCUUUGCCAGAAUGUUGCUAUCUUCUCAUGAUUCCCCUGUCUUCCGUGAUUGUACCUUGCCUCUCGACAUCCAUCCGGAUUCCUAACUGCCUUCCCCGAUCCACGACCUCCCUGCUCAGACCCAGACCACGCUGCCUCGCUCCUGCCCCCGACAUCUUGCCUGCUCACGAACUGCCUCUUCGCCUUGCCCCUCUGGAUUUGACGAAGGAUACAACCAACACUCACAGACAACAAACCCUGGUGACAUUUACAUUAUUAAUAUUACACAUAGUCAUCACUCAUUCACUUAGAGUAGCAUACACACGCCAUGUAAUCAUCAAAGGUUUAAAUAAACCUUGUGAACCGCAGUUGUA